UGGGGAAUAUUGGACAAUGGGCGCAAGCCUGAUCCAGCCAUGCCGCGUGAGUGAUGAAGGCCUUCGGGUUGUAAAGCUCUUUCACUGGGGAAGAUAAUGACGGUACCCAGAGAAGAAGCCCCGGCUAACUUCGUGCCAGCAGCCGCGGUAAUACGAAGGGGGCUAGCGUUGUUCGGAAUCACUGGGCGUAAAGCGCACGUAGGCGGACUUUUAAGUCAGGGGUGAAAUCCCAAGGCUCAACCUUGGAACUGCCUUUGAUACUGGAAGUCUUGAGUUCGGGAGAGGGGGGUGGAACUGCGAGUGUAGAGGUGAAAUUCGUAGAUAUUCGCAAGAACACCAGUGGCGAAGGCGGCUCACUGGCCCGAUACUGACGCUGAGGUGCGAAAGCGUGGGGAGCAAACAGG
rnacentral:rRNA from 1 species